rnacentral:rRNA from 1 species
UUGAAAGGGAAACGAUUGAAGUCAGUCAUGCCGGUGGGAAAUCAGCUCAUAGGCUACUGUGGGUGCACUUUCUCGCAAGGCAGGUUAACAUCGGUUUCAGUUGCGUUAUAAUGAUGGUGGGAAGGUAGCUCCCUCGGGAGUGUUAUAGCCCGCUAUAGAUGGCGUGACAGAGAUCGAGGAUUGCAGCGAAUGCCUUUAGGCUACGGGUCUGGUCUCUGUCGAGUGUCAACUUGUCGGCAGCGUGCUGACGUAUGAGGUGACGACUUUACAAUAGGUUCAGAACUCGAUAAAUUCGUUAAGGAUGUUGACGUA